rnacentral:rRNA from 1 species
CUACGGUGGCAGCAGUGGGGAAUAUUGGACAAUGGGCGAAAGCCUGAUCCAGCCAUGCCGCGUGUGUGAAGAAGGCCUUCGGGUUGUAAAGCACUUUCAGUGGGGAAGAAAGCCUUGGGGCUAAUACCCUCGAGGAAGGACAUCACCCACAGAAGAAGCACCGGCUAACUCCGUGCCAGCAGCCGCGGUAAUACGGAGGGUGCGAGCGUUAAUCGGAAUUACUGGGCGUAAAGCGCGCGUAGGCGGUCUGAUAAGCCGGUUGUGAAAGCCCCGGGCUCAACCUGGGAACGGCAUCCGGAACUGUCAGGCUAGAGUGCAGGAGAGGAAGGUAGAAUUCCCGGUGUAGCGGUGAAAUGCGUAGAGAUCGGGAGGAAUACCAGUGGCGAAGGCGGCCUUCUGGACUGACACUGACGCUGAGGUGCGAAAGCGUGGGUAGCAAACAGGAUUAGAUACCCCUGUAGUC